rnacentral:rRNA from 1 species
UACGGGAGGCAGCAGUGGGGAAUUUUGGACAAUGGGGGAAACCCUGAUCCAGCAAUGCCGCGUGAGUGAAGAAGGCCUUCGGGUUGUAAAGCUCUUUUGUCAGGGAAGAAACACCGGCUCUAACACAGUCCGGGAAUGACGGUACCUGAAGAAUAAGCACCGGCUAACUACGUGCCAGCAGCCGCGGUAAUACGUAGGGUGCGAGCGUUUAUCGGAAUUACUGGGCGUAAAGCGUGCGCAGGCGGUUAUACAAGACAGGCGUGAAAUCCCCGGGCUUAACCUGGGAAUGGCGCCUGUGACUGUAUAGCUAGAGUGUGUCAGAGGGGGGUAGAAUUCCACGUGUAGCAGUGAAAUGCGUAGAUAUGUGGAGGAAUACCAAUGGCGAAGGCAGCCCCCUGGGAUAACACUGACGCUCAUGCACGAAAGCGUGGGGAGCAAACAGGAUUAGAUACCCUGGUAGUCCACGCCCUAAACGAUGCUGACUAGUUGUUCGGGAUUUACAUCCUGAGUAACGUAGCUAACGCGUGAAGUCAUCCGCCUGGA